rnacentral:rRNA from 1 species
UAUGUGAUCGUCUCUCGCAUAUCAAUAAGCGGAGGAAAAGAAACUAACAAGGAUUCCCCUAGUAACGGCGAGUGAAGCGGGAAGAGCUCAAAUUUGAAAUCUUAAAGGGUUUCCCUUUACGAAUUGUAGUUUAAAGAAGUGUUUUCUGUUGAGGUUUUGGUAAAAGUUCUUUGGAAUAGGACAUCAUAGAGGGUGAGAAUCCCGUAUUUGACCUUUACUUUCAACUUUGUGACACACUUUCAAAGAGUCGGAUUGUUUGGGAAUGCAGUCCAAAAUGGGUGGUAAAUUUCAUCUAAAGCUAAAUAUUGGCGAGAGACCGAUAGCGAACAAGUACCGUGAGGGAAAGAUGAAAAGAACUUUGAAAAGAGAGUUAAACAGUACGUGAAAUUGUCAUAAAGGGAAGCGUUUGACACCAGUGUUGUUUUUCUGAAAAUCAAUUAAAGAACUGUUUAUGCUAAGUUGUUUAGACUUUAUCAGCUAACUGUUUAGUUUUGAGCUUUUCUUUAAUGCACUUUUCAGUUAACAAGUCAACAUCAAUUUCUUUUGCUGUAAAAAAGCUUGAGGAAGGUGGCUUGAGAUUCGUCUUAAGUGUUUAUAGCCUCUUGCCUAUGCAGUCGGAGAGAUUGAGGUCUGCAGCGUAGAUCCUUCGGGGCUAAAUGCAUUUGUGCUAAGUUAUAGCAUUUUAUAGACAACUUGUUGACUAUGAUUUGUCUUGUAGCUUACUCGCUUAUGUUAUUUUACCUACGCUUAGGAUGUUGACACACGCGCGUGCUCG